UUUACACUCCGUACAGCCUUCACGUGGGUCUCUGUGUAUUGGUUUGUUUAUGGUCCGUUGCCCCAACUAGAAUGUCAGAUCAAGGAGAGCAAGGACCUGGCCACUUCUGUGCACUGGUGUGUCCCCAGUGUCCAGCACAGAGCGUGGCCCAGAGUGGGCCCUCGAUAAGUAUUUGCUGAGUGAGUGUUCUGGAAUGAAGACUGAAGCUGCCCUGCAGCCGGCAGGUACCUCUGCCUUCCUGCCCACUCCCUGCUGACUUCAGACCCCACCGUUCAGCCAUGACAAGGGAAUGGGGCAAGCUCCAGCUAAGAAUGAAGAUGGAAACCCUUUCGGUCCUGCUCCUGCCCGGUUCCUUUUCUUCAUGCUUCACAACCAGAGGGAUUGUUGUCAGAGAUGGAGCCUUCUCCGAGACAGCACGAUGGUGCGGCAGCUGGGGUACCGGAAAGAUGAGGCGUGUUGGAGACCCCCAGACCAUGGCUGAAAUCCCCACCGUGCCAUCUGAGGUCACCUGGCUCAAGUUGAACCACAGUCAUCCUGUCUAUAAAAUGGACACGACUACCUAGCUCUUGGGGCUAUUGUGAGACUGCCAGUAUCUUACAGUUCUGGAGGCAGAAGUUGGAGACGGGGCCGCUGGACUAAAAUUGAGGUGCCAGCACAUCUGCCUUCCUUCGCAGGCUCCAGGGGAGAACCCAUUUCCUCACGUUUCUGGCUUCUGAAGGCUGCCUCGCCCUCGGCUCGUUGUUCUCCUCCUCCACCUUCAAAGCCAGCGACAAUGGGCUGAGCUCUUCACACAUGGCAGCACUCUGACUUCACUCUCCUUCUGCCUCCCUCUUCCACUUUCAAGACUCUCAUGAUUAUAUUAAGCCCACCCAGACAAGCCAGGGAAACCUCCCCUUCUUAAGGUGAGCUGAUGAGCGACCUUAGUUACAUCUGCCGCCGUAAUCACCCUAUGACAUGUAGCAUAACGUAUUCACAGGUGCCAGGCAUUAGGCUCUGGACGUAUUUGGGGUGGGGCUGGGGAUUAUCCUUUCUCCCACACAUGGGAGCAGGAAUACUUGAGCCCGUAUAACCCAUGUAGCACUAUUUCCCCUUAGGCAAACAACUCAACAGGCAUGAUGAACAUGGACCUGGAGCCACAGUGGUGUCUUCCCACACCACGGACACAACUUGGCCGGUGGCCGGGACACCAUGACUCCUUCCCCAGUGAGAGCUAGGCUUGGCCUGAUAACACGUGCUUCUGUAACUCCCGUUUCCAUUCCUCCAUGGCUGAGCAACCACCCCCACCACCACUGCCACCUUCUGAGGGACAGACUUAUUCUUUAGGGUGAAUAAUAAAGUCUUGGGUGGUAAGAGUCUACCUGGGUCUUCAUAGUUAAAC